AGUGAACGCUGGCGGUAGGCCUAACACAUGCAAGUCGAACGGCAGCACAGUAAGAGCUUGCUCUUACGGGUGGCGAGUGGCGGACGGGUGAGGAAUACAUCGGAAUCUACUUUUUCGUGGGGGAUAACGUAGGGAAACUUACGCUAAUACCGCAUACGACCUACGGGUGAAAGCAGGGGAUCUUCGGACCUUGCGCGAUUGAAUGAGCCGAUGUCGGAUUAGCUAGUUGGCGGGGUAAAGGCCCACCAAGGCGACGAUCCGUAGCUGGUCUGAGAGGAUGAUCAGCCACACUGGAACUGAGACACGGUCCAGACUCCCACGGGAGGCAGCAGUGGGGAAUAUUGGACAAUGGGCGCAAGCCUGAUCCAGCCAUACCGCGUGGGUGAAGAAGGCCUUCGGGUUGUAAAGCCCUUUUGUUGGGAAAGAAAAGCAGCAGGUUAAUACCCCGCUGUUCUGACGGUACCCAAAGAACAAGCACCGGCUAACUUCGUG
rnacentral:rRNA from 1 species